rnacentral:rRNA from 1 species
AUUGAACGCUGGCGGAAUGCUUUACACAUGCAAGUCGAACGGCAGCACGGACUUCGGUCUGGUGGCGAGUGGCGAACGGGUGAGUAAUGUAUCGGAACGUGCCCAGUCGUGGGGGAUAACGUAGUGAAAAUUACGCUAAUACAGCAUACGAUCUAUGGAUGAAAGCGGGGGAUCGCAAGACUUCGCGCGAUUGGAGCGGCCGAUAACAGAUUAGGUAGUUGGUGGGGUAAAGGCCCACCAAGCCAACGAUCUGUAGCUGGUCUGAGAGGACGACCAGCCACACUGGAACUGAGACACGGUCCAGACUCUUACGGGAGGCAGCAGUGGGUAAUUUUGGACAAUGGGCGAAAGCCUGAUCCAGCCAUUCCGCGUGCAGGAUGAAGGCCCUCGGGUUGUAAACUGCUUUUGUACAGAACGAAAAGGUUUCUACUAAUACUAGGAGCUCAUGACGGUACUGUAAGAAUAAGCACCGGCUAACUACGUGCCAGCAGCCGCCGUAA